GUGGUGUCCUUUUUGCCCUUAUGUGAUGAAGCAACAACAGCCAGGUACUGAAUAACCUUUUUGGUAUUUUCUGUCUUGCCAGCACCAGAUUCACCUCUAAGGGGACAGAAAAUAACACAAAAGAAGGCUGAAGGUUUUCCUAUUUUCAGCAGAUAGACUUUGAGGCUUUUAUUUCCUUUUGAAGUGGAUAACAAAAAGUUCUUCAGUGUGAAAUGGAAAUGCUUCCACAUGAAAUGGAGAAUGGACAGGAUCAGACUGUGAGCUGUUAUAUCUGCUGGAGCAGAUUUAGGAUUGGAGUUCAAGCUUACUGAAGGUGAGGAGA